ACCAGCGCUCAGGGUGACCUGAGUGGCUCGGUAAACCCCACCUGGAGCAAGGUCAAGAGGGAGCUGCGCCCCCGGGUGCGGCUCCUGCGCGAGCGAUCGAGGGUUGCCCGCCCGAGCUCGCGGGUAGACCGCUGGAGGCUGCCGGCAACGGCAGCCCUAGAUGGAUGGCCGUCGGCCCGCGCAAGCGGGUGCACAGAACCCGGCCUACAGGCCGACUCGCCCG
rnacentral:RNase_P_RNA from 1 species